UACGGAGGGUGCAAGCGUUAUCCGGAUUCACUGGGUUUAAAGGGUGCGUAGGAGGGUGAGUAAGUCAGUGGUGAAAUCUUCGAGCUUAACUCGGAAACUGCCGUUGAUACUACUUGUCUUGAAUACCGUGGAGGUGAGCGGAAUAUGUCAUGUAGCGGUGAAAUGCUUAGAUAUGACAUAGAACACCAAUUGCGAAGGUAGCUCACUACACGAAUAUUGACUCUGAGGCACGAAAGCGUGGGGAUCAAACAGG
rnacentral:rRNA from 1 species